rnacentral:rRNA from 1 species
GACGAACGCUGGCGGCGUGCCUAACACAUGCAAGUCGAGCGAAAAGACCCGGCGUUUGUGCGGUUGUCGAUGGCCGAAGGGGGGAGUGACACGUGUGUAUCCUCCCCUUCUCUUUCGGAGAACGUCACGAAACUCAGGCUAAUAUCGGAUAGGAUCUCUUGCAGCAUGGUGUGCAUUGGAAAGAUUAGGCGGUUGGGGAUGGACUGGCGGCUUAUGCGCUUGUUGGUGGGGUAGUGGCUGACCAAGGAUUUCACGGCUAGCCGACAUGGGAGGGUGAACGGCGACCUUGGGACUGAGAUAGGGACCAGAAGCGUACGGGAGGCAGCAGUGGGGAAUCUUGCACAAUGGGAGGAAGUGUGAUGCAGAGGCGUCGAGUGCGGGAUGCUGGCUUUUGGGUUAUAAACAGAUUUCGCCUGAGACGAAGCGGUAGUGACGGUAACGGGUAAAGAAGCACCGGCUAACUACGUG